rnacentral:rRNA from 1 species
GACGAACGCUGGCGGCGUGCUUAACACAUGCAAGUCGAACGGAAAGGCCCUGCUUUUGUGGGGUGCUCGAGUGGCGAACGGGUGAGUAACACGUGAGUAACCUGCCCUUGACUUUGGGAUAACUUCAGGAAACUGGGGCUAAUACCGGAUAGGAGCUCCUGCUGCAUGGUGGGGGUUGGAAAGUUUCGGCGGUUGGGGAUGGACUCGCGGCUUAUCAGCUUGUUGGUGGGGUAGUGGCUUACCAAGGCUUUGACGGGUAGCCGGCCUGAGAGGGUGACCGGCGACAUUGGGACUGAGGUACGGCCCAGACUCCUACGGGAGGCAGCAGUGGGGAAUAUUGCACAAUGGGCGGAAGCCUGAUGCAGCAACGCCGCGUGCGGGAUGACGGGCUUCGGGUUGUGAACCGCUUUCGCCUGUGACGAAGCGUGAGUGACGGUAAUGGGUAAAGAAGCAACGGCUAACUACGUG